rnacentral:rRNA from 1 species
CAACCUGCCCACCACUUGGGGAUAACCUUGCGAAAGUAAGACUAAUACCCAAUGAUAUCUCUAGAAGGCAUCUGAAAGAGAUUAAAGAUUUAUCGGUGAUGGAUGGGGAUGCGUCUGAUUAGCUUGUUGGCGGGGUAACGGCCCACCAAGGCAACGAUCAGUAGGGGUUCUGAGAGGAAGGUCCCCCACAUUGGAACUGAGACACGGUCCAAACUCCUACGGGAGGCAGCAGUGAGGAAUAUUGGUCAAUGGACGAGAGUCUGAACCAGCCAAGUAGCGUGCAGGAAGACGGCCCUAUGGGUUGUAAACUGCUUUUAUAAGGGAAUAAAGUGAGAGUCGUGACUCUUUUUGCAUGUACCUUAUGAAUAAGGACCGGCUAAUUCCGUGCCAGCAGCCGCGGUAAUACGGAAGGUCCGGGCGUUAUCCGGAUUUAUUGGGUUUAAAGGGAGCGUAGGCCGGAGAUUAAGCGUGUUGUGAAAUGUAGAUGCUCAACAUCUGAACUGCAGCGCGAACUGGUUUCCUUGAGUACGCACAAAGUGGGCGGAAUUCGAGGUGUAGCGGUGAAAUGCUUAGAUAUCACGAAGAACUCCNAUUG